rnacentral:rRNA from 1 species
GACGAACGCUGGCGGCGUGCUUAACACAUGCAAGUCGAACGGUGAAGCUCCAGCUUGCUGGCGUGGAUCAGUGGCGAACGGGUGAGUAACACGUGAGCAACCUGCCCCUGACUCUGGAAUAAGCGCUGGAAACGGCGUCUAAUACUGGAUACGAGAAGGGUCCGCAUGGGCACUUUCUGGAAAGUUUUUCGGUUGGGGAUGGGCUCGCGGCCUAUCAGCUUGUUGGUGAGGUAAUGGCUCACCAAGGCGACGACGGGUAGCCGGCCUGAGAGGGCGACCGGCCACAGUGGAAGUGAGAAAGGGUCCAGAAUACUACGGGAGGCAGGAGUAGGGACUCCUGCGCAAGGGGCGGAAGCCUGACGGAGCAACGGCGCGUGAGUCAUGAAGGUCUUCGGAGCGUAAAACGCUGUUAUUAGGGAAGAACAAAUGUGUAAGUAACUAUGCACGUCUUGACGGUAACUAAUCAGAAAGACACGGCUAACUACGUG